CCUAGUGGAGACUGGAAUCUUAGUUGUGCGGAUCACUAAAGUGAGGCUGGCUUGUGCCUUCGUCCCUUCAUUCAAGUAUCUAUCUGGCACCCGAGAGCCAGGCGCUGUCCCGGGCGUGGGGAAAUGACAGUGACAGCGACGCGGCCUCUGGAAGCAGGAAUCUCACAUCCGAGCGAGGAGAGCUGUCUUCAGGCCACACGGAGUUGAGGUCAGAGUUUUCUGCUUUCUCGAUCGCCAGCUCGUCGGCCACGGGAGGAUGGAUGUUACAUUUACAGGGAUCUUAUGGAUUUCUCUGUUAUGCUGCAGCUUGGACCAAACAGCCCUCUCUUCUUCGCCUCUAUCGAUCUAAAUGUUUCCAUAUUUGUUUCCUUGUGGAGGCAUUUACUGCAUCAGACUUUUAAGAGAUGGGGCCUGGAGAUUUACAGAGCUCUUUGUGUGUUCCGAUGUACAAUCGGAGCUCAGAGACAUGGAAAGACAUGGAAAGAAGUGCCCUCUGAUGUCCGAAAGGGCCACAGCAUCGUUCUGCCUCUGACCUUGCAACACUGACUUACUGUGCAUGAAACACAGCCUCCUCGCCAGCCAAACUGGGGAAGUUAUCAUCGAAGCAGCCUUCCUGGAUUAUUACGAGGACGGAAUCCUCUGUGUGUGGGAAGCCCUUCUCCAUCUUCUUGCUCAUCCACGGGAGCAUGUGGCCCCCGAAAGCCGGCCAUUUUGGCCCAUGUUCCCAUUGAGCAGAGCCCAGUCAUGUGACCCCAACCUAAUCACAAGGGUGGCAGGGAAACACGGAAGUGCACACGGAAGUCUGCUGAGCACCGUUGCCUCCGCCAUCCCCCCCUAUUAGAAGGUAAGCUCCCUGAGGGAAGGGACUUGGGCAUCCUUGUCACCACUGUCUCCCAGCAGCUGCCACGUGUUGAACACCUGCGAGGCUCGGAUGCAUGAAUAAAUGAAGACGGGCAUGAAUGACGCCUUCCUCUCUGAAAUUUUCAUCCAAUUCUCAGCAAGAUGCUCUGAUGUAAAAGUUCAUCGUGAGGGCUAGAACCCUAUCUCGCUAAUGGCGUUUUCAGUCUUAUUUGGAUAGGGACUAAUCUUGACGUGCUUUGGAUUCACACUUUAACCCACCCCCAAUCCCUUGCGGAUGUCCUUCUCUUUGACCCUGUAUUUGGGAUAAUGACUCCUGUAUUUCCCAUAGUUCCCCAGAAAAAGCACUG